CGGCAGCCCGAGUGGUGAUCGAUUUUAUUGAGCCUAAAGCGUCCGUAGCCGGACUAGUAAACCCUUGGGUAAAUUGGGCAGCUUAACUGUCCAAAUUCCGAGGGGACUGCUAGUCUUGGGACCGGGAGAGGUCAGAGGUACUCAAGGGGUAGGGGCUAAAUCCUGUAAUCCUUUGGGGACCACCAGUGGCGAAGGCGUCUGACUAGAACGGAUCCGACGGUAAGGGACGAAACCCUGGGGCGCGAACCGGAUUAGAUACCCGAGUAGUCC
rnacentral:rRNA from 1 species